rnacentral:rRNA from 1 species
AUUGAACGCUGGCGGAAUGCUUUACACAUGCAAGUCGAACGGCAGCACGGACUUCGGUCUGGUGGCGAGUGGCGAACGGGUGAGUAAUGUGUCGGAACGUGCCCAGUCGUGGGGGAUAACGUAGUGAAGAUUACGCUAAUACCGCAUACGAUCUAUGGAUGAAAGCGGGGGAUCGCAAGACCUCGCGCGAUUGGAGCGGCCGAUAUCAGAUUAGGUAGUUGGGGGGGUAAAGGACCACCAAGCCAACGAUCUGUAGCUGGUCUGAGAGGACGACCAGCCACACUGGAACUGAGACACGGUCCAGACUCCUACGGGAGGCAGCAGUGGGGAAUUUUGGACAAUGGGCGAAAGCCUGAUCCAGCCAUUCCGCGUGCAGGAUGAAGGCCCUCGGGUUGUAAACUGCUUUUGUACAGAACGAAAAGGUUUCUACUAAUACUAGGAGCUCAUGACGGUACUGUAAGAAUAAGCACCGGCUAACUACGUGCCAGCCGCCGCCGUAA